rnacentral:rRNA from 2 species
UAAAGCGGGUGAAAAGCCCGCUCGCCGGAAGACCAAGGGUUCCUGUCCAACGUUAAUCGGGGCAGGGUGAGUCGACCCCUAAGGCGAGGCCGAAAGGCGUAGUCGAUGGGAAACGGGUUAAUAUUCCCGUACUUGGUGUUACUGCGAAGGGGGGACGGAGAAGGCUAUGUUGGCCGGGCGACGGUUGUCCCGGUUUAAGCGUGUAGGCUGGUUUUCCAGGCAAAUCCGGAAAAUCAAGGCUG